UACGGAGGAUGCGAGCGUUAUCCGGAUUUAUUGGGUUUAAAGGGUGCGUAGGCGGCUUUUUAAGUCAGCGGUGAGAUUUUGCAGCUUAACUGUAAAAGUGCCUUCGAAACUGGUUUCCUUGAGUGUAGAUGAAGUAGGCGGAAUUUGUGGUGUAGCGGUGAAAUGCAUAGAUAUCACGAGGAACUCCGAUUGAGCAGGCAGCUUACUAAACUACUACUGACGCUCAGGCACGAAGGCGUGGGGAUCAAACAGGAUUAGAUACCCCUGUA
rnacentral:rRNA from 1 species